UAGAUAUUGGACCUACUGUAUCGGAUCGUGCGGGUAGGCUAUCUGAACGCGUCCGCUGCUUUCGUAAAGCCGAGUUUACGAAGCUCAAUAACUUAAUUCUAAAUUUUGAUUGGUCCGCUCUGUACUUGUGCAGUGACGUCAUUGAAGGCACAAACAUUUUUUACAAUGUACUUGACACAAUUUUUGACACGUGUGUCCCACUUUCAUGUCCGACUAGAUCUG
rnacentral:lncRNA from 1 species